GGGCGCAUAGCUCAGUUGGUUUAGAGCGUCUGGUUUACACCCAGAAGGUCGGGGGUUCGAAUCCCUCUGCGCCCACCA
rnacentral:tRNA from 1 species